UAGGGAAUCUUCCACAAUGGGCGCAAGCCUGAUGGAGCAACGCCGCGUGAGUGAAGACGGCCUUCGGGUUGUAAAGCUCUGUCUGUCGGGACGAAGACCGGGACGGGAGUCCCGGGGAGCCGGUACCGACGAAGGAAGCCCCUGCAAACUACGUGCCAGCAGCCGCGGUAAGACGUAGGGGGCAAGCGUUGUCCGGAAUUACUGGGCGUAAAGGGCGUGUAGGCGGUGCGAUACGUAGCGGUUUUAAGCCUCCGGCUCACCCGGAGGAGGGCGGCUAAACGGUCGCACUGGAGGGCAGGAGAAGUGCGUUGGAAUUCUGGUGGAGCGGUGAAAUGCGUAGAGAUCAGGAAGAACACCAGUGGCGAAGGCGGCGCACUGGCCUGACCCUGACGCUGAGGCCGACAGCGUUGGGGACAAACGGGAUUAGAUACCCCGGUAGUCCACGCCGUAAACGAUGGAUUACUAAGUGGUCGUGGGGGGUCAACCCUGCGGUGCCGGAGCUAACGCACUAAAUUUUCCCGCCUGGGGGAGUUACGGGCCGCAANGGUUG
rnacentral:rRNA from 1 species